rnacentral:rRNA from 1 species
GCUGGCGGAGUGCCUAACACAUGCAAGUCGAGCGGCAGCGGGAAUAGUUUACUACUUGCCGGCGAGCGGCGGACGGCUGAGUAACGCGUGGGAACGUGCCCCAAAGUGAGGAAUAACUGCCCGAAAGGGUAGCUAAUGCCGCAUAUGAUCUUCGGAUUAAAGUAUUUAUUACGCUUUGGGAGCGGCCCGCGUCCGAUUAGGUAGUUGGUGAGGUAAAGGCUCACCAAGCCCACGAUCGGUAGCUGGUCUGAGAGGAUGACCAGCCAGACUGGAACUGAGACACGGUCCAGACUCCUACGGGAGGCAGCAGUGAGGAAUCUUCCACAAUGGACGAAAGUCUGAUGGAGCAACUCCGCGUGCAGGAUGAAGGCCUUAGGGUUGUAAACUGCUUUUAUGAGUGAAGAAUAUGACGGUAACUCAUGAAUAAGGGUCGGCUAACUACGUGCCAGCAGCCGCGGUCAUACGUAGGACCCAAGCGUUAUCCGGAGUGACUGGGCGUAAAGAGUUGCGUAGGUGGUUAUAUAAGUGAAUAGUGAAAUCUGGCGGCUCAACCGUACAGGCUAUUAUUCAAACUGUAUAACUCGAGAAUGGUAGAGGUAACUGGAAUUUCUUGUGUAGGAGUGAAAUCCGUAGAUAUAAGAAGGAACACCAAUGGCGUAGGCAGGUUACUGGACCAUUUCUGACACUGAGGCACGAAAGCGUGGGGAGCGAACCGGAUUAAUACCCGGGUAGUCACGCCGUAAACAAUGGAUACUACCUGUUGGAGG